GAAGAAGAAGGAAGCAUGUCUAAAAAGGGCGGAGCUGCGCUUCAGAAAGAUGCUCCAUGGAGGGCCUCAUCUUCCAAACCCAUUCCCAAAAUUCAUCACUCUCCUGUUCUCCGCGUCUCUCAAACCCCUUAUUCUAUUUACGCUCUCUCCGUCAUGAAGCAUCCCAAUCCGAUUGGAAGUGGUUUGGCAACGGAAGCCAUGGUGGAAUCCGCCGGUCCUGAUUGCGUUGUCCCUGGCCAGAUUACUCCCGUUCGA
rnacentral:misc_RNA from 1 species